UGGUGUCCCCUGCUGCUCCAGCUGAGU
rnacentral:piRNA from 1 species